GAUGAAGAACGUAGCGAAAUGCGAUAAGGAAUGUGAAUUGCAGAAUUCAGUGAAUCAUCGAAUCUUUGAACGCACAUUGCGCCCCCUGGUAUUCCGGGGGGCAUGCCUGUCCGAGCGUCAUUACAACCCUCAAGCUCAGCUUGGUGUUGGGCCCCGCCGCCCCGGCGGGCCCUAAAGUCAGUGGCGGUGCCGUCCGGCUCCGAGCGUAGUAAUUCUUCUCGCUCUGGAGGUCCGGUCGUGUGCUCGCCAGCAACCCCCAAUUUUUUUCAGGUUGACCUCGGAUCAGGUAGGGAUACCCGCUGAACUUAAGCAUAUCAAUAAGCGGAGGA
rnacentral:misc_RNA from 1 species